CAAGAGCAAAGAAAGCUCCCAGGACCCUCCUCACCUGGUUCCACUGCCUCACAGAGUCCUGACACUGUUCAAAAAACAAUAAUGAUAUACCCUCUGCCCAUCCUGCAGCUGGGGCUGUGUGAAAUAGAAGUGUGCAGGGUAUUUGUGAAGAGAUCUCAUUUGGAGUUAAAGGAUUAUAAAGUGAUGCCGAAUUAUUUGUUCUUCUCGAUUAGAAGACAGAGGUGGCUAAAAUACAAAGACCCCUUCUGGCCUGCUGCUCAAAUGUUGUGCUUUGCUGAACACACUGUCUCAUGAAGAGUGGGUUCCUGAUGGGCCAGCCUCAGACCCUGCACUCAGGUGCUGCAGGCUGAUAAAGUGCCUUCCUCACGACUGGCAGCUACCUGAGCAGGUCCCUGCUGAACAGCACAGCUGAUCACAAACCUCAGCCAUGAACGUUACCUAGCUUCAGCUUGCUUUCCCUGUGCCAGCCCAAGGUGGGACACCAGCCUUGGCAUGUCAGGAGAAACAUGUGACUUUGGGCAGAAACCUGCUGUGCAUCCACCCUCAGGCUGGAUGAUCACCAAAUGUGUCCAGAACUGCACUGACCCCUGUUCUUAACACUGCAGUCAGCUAUGCCAAAACAAAUCAUUCAGAUUCUCCUUUGGAUGCAUCUUUUAUUCCUUCUGGCAGACUGAAUGGAGACUCCUUCUAAUCUGAAAC